rnacentral:pre_miRNA from 1 species
AUAGUACUCCUUCCAUCUCAAAAUUCUUGUCUUAAAUUUGUCUAGAUAAGAAUGUAUCUAGUCACGUUUUAGUAUUUAGAUACAUUCAUUUCUAUACAAAUCUAAGACAAAAAUUUUAGGACGGAGGAAGUAUGCA